GACGAACGCUGGCGGCGUGCUUAACACAUGCAAGUCGUACGGUAAGGCCCUUUCGGGGGUACACGAGUGGCGAACGGGUGCGUAACACGUGAGUAACCUGCCCACAACUUUGGGAUAACGCUAGGAAACUGGUGCUAAUACUGGAUAUGUGCUCCUGCUGCAUGGUGGGGGUUGGAAAGCUCCGGCGGUUGUGGAUGGACUCGCGGCCUAUCAGCUUGUUGGUGGGGUAGUGGCCUACCAAGGCGGCGACGGGUAGCCGGCCUGAGAGGGUGACCGGCCACAUUGGGACUGAGAGACGGCCCAGACUCCUACGGGAGGCAGCAGGGGGGAAUAUUGCACAAUGGGCGCAAGCCGGAUGCAGCAACGCCGCGUGCGGGAUGACGGCCUUCGGGUUGUAAACCGCUUUCAGCAGGGACGAAGCUUUUUGUGACGGUACCUGCAGAAGAAGCACCGGCUAACUACGUG
rnacentral:rRNA from 1 species